rnacentral:lncRNA from 1 species
UUCAUCAUUCUCCACUUGUGAUGCGUCGUUGGAGUGUUGGCAUUCAACCUCUUGAUUUAGAUGUGAAGUAAGUCCCAACGUGGGUUACCUAGAGGGUGUGCCUCUGUAUUUGAUUAUUGAUGAUGGGAUAGGGUGGCUAGUAAGUCGUAUAGGUAAGCCACUGAACAAGUUUAUUCGUGAAGGGAUUGAUGUGAAGAUCUGUUUGCUACUGGAGAAAGGGACUUGUAAUCCUGAUUCUUAGAAAAUUAAUUUGAAUGAGGAGCGUAUCAUUAUCCCUAUUAAAAUGGCUCAACAGCGGCAUUAUCCUCAGGGCAAGCAUGCUCCAGCUGUGACUAGAGAAUGGAGAGGUAAAUCCCAGCAAAAUAUUUGUUUUGACCCAGCUAGCUCUGAAGGCAAUGCAACUGAAUCUCAGUGAGAGAGGAAGUUGCACCUUCAUCUAAUAGGAUUCCAACAGCUAGAGGGGGAGGAGAGGACUCUGCUAAGACUCCUAAGAGAGUGGAGGCGUAGUCUUCCCCUUAUCAAGUUGAAGGUCUUAAAGCUUUUAUGGAGGUGGUGAGGCUUCCUUGAGCACUAAAACUGCGAGCAUUUUGAAUAAUGUGGUUAUUGAGGAGAUCAAAGAAGAUUUGGAGGACAAUGAGGAGAUUGUGUUGGAGGCACCCCUGCAGCCAAUUAAACCUGGAACGGCCCCUCUUGGUGAUUUCUUUAGAGCUGC